rnacentral:lncRNA from 1 species
GAGGUAUUGAUAAGUUAGUCUGGUCCCUCAUUUGAUCUUAUGUGUUACAGACCAGAGGAACCAGAGAGAGCAGCAGUGAGUACUGCUCCAGAGAUUCAGAACCUGCAGAGUCAGUCAGUCCAGAGCCAGAGGUGAGUGGAACUAAACUUAUGACUUUUAAUGGAACCACAAACUGCUUUUAACAUAUCUCAUGCAUCAUGUUUAUGCCAUAGGUUGAUUGCAUUAGUAUUCACGAAUAUGUUGCAUUGCAUUGUUUAUUUGAUGAUGUGAGUAAAUGCUGAAUGAUCCAAUAGUCACAGACAGGAAGACCAGGAGCCUUUGACUACGCCCUGGCACGUAUAGCAAAGACCAGGAGCCUUUGACUACGCCCUGGCAGGUAUAUAGUAAAGUCCAGGAGCCUUUGACUACGCCCUGGCAAUGGUAAGUUCACAGGUGUUAUAUACACAUAUACAUAUAUGACAGGAAGACCAGGUGCUCGAUUCUACGCCCUGGCACAGAGUUACUGGGACUAUGUGGUGACAGGUUUACUCUUGAUGUGGCUUGUUUGUGUUAUGGCGCAUUUCAUGAGAUCAUAUUUUACUGAGAUGUUUUACUGUUCUACUCACUGGGCUAUAGAGCUCAUCCCACUCCCUUAACCCCAGUUUUGCAGGUUCAGUGUACAGUGUACAGGGACAGUCCAGCAGAGUACAGGAAGAGAGAAGAGAUCUGUAAUAGCUUAGAGUGGACAUGUAAAAUUAAAGAGAUGUAAUAGUUGUUGCUUGACCUAGACCUAGUGAUGUAUGUAUUGUACAUGAUCUGUAUAUGUAUGUCUGUUUUCCUGUAUGUGAAAACCAGGCUUAACAGGUAUGAGUUAACCCAUCUAGAGCAAGCUCUAGUUAGGGAUACAGAGUACAGAGUACUUGAGUACAGAGUACAGAGAUAGUGCAUGCACAGGUUAAGCCUUGGUUCAGAA